rnacentral:lncRNA from 1 species
UAAAAUUAUAGAUUUAUUGCUUAUAGUGUAGGAAUUGAAAAAAUAGAAUAGUUAAGUGGUGCCUUUGAAAAAACAGUACGUGUAGAAAGUGAAAAAAAAAAAUUGUGAACUAUAGUGUAAUAUAAUAUAAUUAGUGUAAAGCUACUAUACUUCUGGAAGUACAAAAGAGUUGGUGCUUCUGACUCUUUAGACAUUGGAUCAAGGAUUGUAGGGUUGAGAUGAUAGUGGUCUCCACUGGGGAUUAGUG